CAGUGCCACGGUAAUACGUAGGUCCCGAGCGUUGUCCGGAUUUAUUGGGCGUAAAGCGAGCGCAGGCGGUUAGAUAAGUCUGAAGUUAAAGGCUGUGGCUUAACCAUAGUACGCUUUGGAAACUGUUUAACUUGAGUGCAAGAGGGGAGAGUGGAAUUCCAUGUGUAGCGGUGAAAUGCGUAGAUAUAUGGAGGAACACCGGUGGCGAAAGCGGCUCUCUGGCUUGUAACUGACGCUGAGGCUCGAAAGCGUGGGGAGCAAACAGGAUUAGAUACCCGGGUAGUCCCUGUCUCUUAUACAC
rnacentral:rRNA from 1 species